rnacentral:sRNA from 1 species
UGAUAGCUCUUGAGACUGAAGGCCUCUUUUUAACCACAGAACAGGUACAGCAUGUGCUGGCAACAUAGUCUUCUCCAUGCUGUCCCAUCAAUAUACCCCAACCUGAUCUGAUGGGAUCACCUUUAGUGGUUAGAAUACAGUCUCAUCUCCAGAUGUUGAUUUGUUAGA